GAUGAAGAACGUUGCGAAAUGCGAUAAGUAAUGUGAAUUGCAGAAUUCAGUGAAUCAUCGAAUCUUUGAACGCACAUUGCGCCCGCCAGUAUUCUGGCGGGCAUGCCUGUUCGAGCGUCAUUUCAACCAUCAAGCCCCCGGCUUGUGUUGGGGACCUGCGGCUGCCGCAGGCCCUGAAAACCAGUGGCGGGCUCGCUAGUCACUCCGAGCGUAGUAAUACAUCUCGCUCAGGGCGUGCUGCGGGUUCCGGCCGUUAAAAAGCCUUAUUUACCCAAGGUUGACCUCGGAUCAGGUAGGAAGACCCGCUGAACUUAAGCAUAUCAAUAAGCGGAGGA
rnacentral:misc_RNA from 1 species